UGCANGUUUUUGUUGAUUUUUCUUAAUUUAUUAAGAAAAAGACAUUAAGCGAACGGGUGAGGAUAAAACGAGUAUUUGCCUUUAGGUCUGGGAUAAGAAUCUAAGUUUUUUAGAAAAUAUGAUUUAAAACCGGAUAUUGAAAACUACGGUGCCUAAAGAUAAGCUGGUUGAAGAUUAGGUUGUUGGUGAGGUAACAGCUCACCAAGCCAAUGAUCUUUAGUGGUACUGAAAGGUAGAACCACCACACGGGAACUGAGACAAGGUCCCGACUCAUUUAGAGGCAGCAGUAGGGAAUUUUGGACAAUGAAGGAAACUUUGAUCCAGCGACGCCACGUGGAGGAAAAUCUAAAAGAAGGCAAAAGUGUUGUAAACUCCACAUCUUUGGGAAGAAAAUGACAUUACCAAAAGACAAGUCCUGGCUAAUCUUGUGCCAGCCGCCGCGGUAAUACAAGAAGGGCAAGCGUUAUUCGGAAUGAUUUGGUCUAAAAAAUCUGUAGGUGGUUUAAAUAGGUUGAUAGUUAGAAGCUUUUCUCUCAAGGAAAAAGAAAUUAUCAAAACCAUUAAACUUUGAGUUAAAGAGGGGAAAAUAGAAUUCCUAGGGUACGAUUGAAAUUGGUAAAUACUAGGAGGAAUUAUAGAGGCGAANGNGAUUUUCUGGCUUUAACUGACACUGGAGGAUGAAAGCAUGGGCAGUAAUCGGGAUUAGAGACCCCAGUAAAUCCAUGCCGUAAAAGAUGUAUGUUCGUCUUUUGGUGGACUUUUUGGAGUUCAUUGAGAGACUNANCNNANGGNGUUAAACAUACUACCUGGGGAGUANGGUCGCANGGCUGAAACUCAAA
rnacentral:rRNA from 1 species